CGAACGCUGGCGGCGUGCUUACCACAUGCACGUCGAACGGCAAGGCCCUGCUUUUGUGGGGUGCUCGAGUGGCGAACGGGUGAGUAACACGUGAGUAACCUGCCCUUGACUUUGGGAUAACUUCAGGAAACUGGGGCUAAUACCGGAUAGGAGCUCCUGCUGCAUGGUGGGGGUUGGACAGUUUCGGCGGUUGGGGAUGGACUCGCGGCUUAUCAGCUUGUUGGUGGGGUAGUGGCUUACCAAGGCUUUGACGGGUAGCCGGCCUGAGAGGGUGACCGGCCACAUUGGGACUGAGAUAAGGCCCAGACUCCUACGGGAGGCAGCAGUGGGGAAUAUUGCACAAUGGGCGGAAGCCUGAUGCAGCAACGCCGCGUGCGGGAUGACGGCCUUCGGGUUGUAAACCGCUUUCGCCUGUGACGAAGCGUGAGUGACGGUAAUGGGUAAAGAAGCACCGGCUAACUACGUG
rnacentral:rRNA from 1 species